GAUGAACGCUGGCGGCGUGCCUAAUACAUGCAAGUCGAGCGAACGGACGAGAAGCUUGCUUCUCUGAUGUUAGCGGCGGACGGGUGAGUAACACGUGGAUAACCUACCUAUAAGACUGGGAUAACUUCGGGAAACCGGAGCUAAUACCGGAUAAUAUUUUGAACCGCAUGGUUCAAAAGUGAAAGACGGUCUUGCUGUCACUUAUAGAUGGAUCCGCGCUGCAUUAGCUAGUUGGUAAGGUAACGGCUUACCAAGGCAACGAUGCAUAGCCGACCUGAGAGGGUGGUCGCCCACACGGGAACUGAGACCGGGCCCAGACCCCGACGGGGGGCAGAAGAAGGGAAUCUUCCGAAAGGGGCGAAAGCCUGACGGAGCAGCGCCGCGUGAGUGAUAAAGGUUUUGGGAUCGUAAAACUCUUUUAUUGGGGAAAAACAUAUGUUAAAGUAACUGUCCACUUCUUGACGGUACAUAAUAAAAAAGCCACGGCUAACUACGGG
rnacentral:rRNA from 1 species